rnacentral:lncRNA from 1 species
UUUACAAGAAUGGUGCGGCGCUGGUAAUGGGCAUGGCAGCAGUGACUUUGCUCGAGGCGAUUCGAAUCGCGGACAAGGUUGGCACAAUAUCCACUUCCAGCAAGGUCUGUAGAAACCAACAUAGGAUCCUCAUCGCGGCGGUUGGCUAUGUCCGAGACUACCUCAAGCAAAUCCAGGAUCUCAACUUCGCGAGCAACGGGCCAGCCUUCGUGUGGGACGAAACCGUGGCUGUCCUUAACAGAGGCCUUCAUCUCCUCAAGUCGUGCCAAGAAGGCAAUUGGAUCGCGCGGAGCCUGCUGUUCAAGGAAAGCUGCGAUGAGUUCCAGAGCAUUUAUCCCGAGAUCUACAACUGCGUCGAGCUCGUCAGCGUCUAUCUCUUUCAGCUGGCACCGUCCACCUCGCACAGAUCCAGGAUUGCCGAGGCUUACAACUCGUGCCUCAUGAGGCAGAACUUGAGCAGCAUGCUGGAAGAAGCCGGAAGGAACGAUCGGAAGGAGCUCAUGACUCUCGCAAUGAGCCAAGAGCCGGGAAGCCUGACGACCGAGAGCAAACAAGCCAAAGAGAUACUCUGCUCCAUGCUCCUGGGAAACAAGUCAGUGAUUAACCACAAGGAACUCAAGCUGACAACACACCUGGGACAAGGAGGUUUCGGAACCGUGUACGAAGCAAUCUGGCUCGGUCACAAGUUUGCAGUGAAAGUCUUCCCUCAAGGUGACACCAGCUUCGCCAAAGAGCUCGCGGUUCUCGAAGCGGACAAGCAUCCCAACGUGUUGCACAUCGCCAGCCAGUCUUUCGAUGAAGAGAAGCAGCGGUACUCGCUGGUGAUGGAGAAGAUGGACAUGGACCUGGCAAACUACGUCCUCAAGAAGAAGAACUCUCUCCCGUUGCUGUCGAUCGUGGCAGUGAUGCUCCAAGUUGCUACUGGCAUGGCCUGGCUUCACUCGAAGAAUAUAAUCCACCGGGACCUCAAGCCGCAGAACAUCUUGGUUGGCGAAGAAGACAACGAUCUCGUGAGUAUCAGGAUUGCCGACUUUGGAGUCUCGAGGCCAAACUUCAUCUCCUCCCAGAUCGAAGCCGUUAGCAUCCAAGGCACCAGGAACUUCAUGGCACCGGAAGUGUGGAGCGGCGAGAACUACACGAAAAAGGCCGACGUUUACAGCUACGGGAUGCUGAUUUACCAGCUUGUCACUGGAAACGUUCCGUUCGAGGACGGGAUGGACAUGGAGCAAGUCCUUCGAGGCGAGCGUCCUGAGGUACCAGCAACCUGUCCAGAGUUCCUGUCGCAGCUCAUGCGGGAAUGCUGGAGCCACGAUGCAAAAGAGAGGCCUUCCUUCUCGGAUAUCUGCGAGCGGCUGAAGCAGCUCAAGACCAGGAUCAUCACUGGCACCGACUCCAUCGACGAGUUACGAGCCAUGUUGGUUGCAGCAGCCAGGUCAUCUUCCUCUUAUUCGUACUCAUCGUCUUCCUCGUCGCACAGCAUGAACCUGGAUUCUCCUGUCCAAGCACCUGAAGGGCUUUUGACCCAAAAUCCUCCAUCUCCCGUUGUCCAGGUAAACUCUUUUGCUUUUAGUAACUCCACCUUUAGUUUCAGCCGGUACCACACCGUCCUCAGCACGUCGCACCAGCAGCAAAGCCGGAUAACAGGGCCGAGCUCUUCGAACUGGUGAAGAACGGCCUCGUCGAAAACGCCUUUGAGAAAGCUCUGUCCCUGAACGAUCCUUCCACGGUCUGGUGGCUUUGCACCAAGGUAAGCCAUUCACGUCCUCCAGCUGCUCAUCAAAGCUUUGUCAGCUCAGGUGGAGGAUAGCGUCCUGCUCGCCUUCAGUGAAUCAAUGCUCAUGGAAGUGGCCGAGCAAAUCAACACCAACUUCGAGGAAGACACUGCUCGCAGGUUGCUCUGGAUCAACGAGAUCCUGUUCAUCUUGCUGUACGUCAACGUCAAUGGACAGACGUCACCUCGGAUGCAGAGGAUCUUGGAGGAGCUUUCACAGAACCUCCACGGCAUGAUGGCUAUAACACCGUCAAACAGCGAGCUGGCGAUGAAGCUGGCAGACGUGCUGAAAAGAACCAACGUGGGUCUUCGGGUUCGUAUGAAGCUCUUCGUGUUAUUCGUUUGAUUCAAAUCGUUUGUCGUCGCAGCGUAUCCGAUAUGGGAACAAACUUCAGAAGAAAGGGAAAAGGAAACUGUGAAAUAAAACAGCUAUAUAUUUCCAGCGGAACACCGGUAGUUUCUGAGUAUUGAGAUGUUCUAAUUUUCUGCCUGCCAAAAGUAUCAACCAUGCUUCACGAAAGAACCAUAAAGAACUUACCAAUUCCCAUUCGUAACUUCGUCUCAUCCUGCCGGGGAAAAUGUGAAGGAAACUUACGAGAUAAAUAUCAAAGCACAAAGGUUUCACCAUUCUUUAGUUCUUAAACUGGAAGGAGCUCAUGGCUCUCGCAAUGAACCGAGAGCCGGGAAGCCUGACGACCGAGACAGAACGAGCCAAAGAGAUACUCUGCUCCAUCCUCCUGGGAAACAAGUCAGUGAUCAACCACAAGGAACUCAAGCUGAGAACACACCUGGGACAAGGAGCUUACGGAACCGUGUACGAAGCAAUGUGGCUCGGUCACAAGUUCACGGUGAAAGUCUUCCCUCAAGGUGACACCAGCUUUGCCAAAGAGCUCGCGGUUCUCGGAGCUCACAAGCAUCCCAACGUGUUGCACAUUGCCGGCCAUUCUUUCGAUGGAGAGAAGCAGCAGUACUCGCUGGUGAUGGAGAAGAUGGACAUGGACCUGGCAAACUACCUCCUCAAGAAGAACUCCCUCUCGUUGCUGUCGAUCGUGGCAGUGAUGCUCCAAGUCACUACUAAUGAAUGGGAAUCAAAAUUGUGACCAUCGUCUCCCGCUACUGUCAUCAAGGGCCUAAAACAUACACCAAUUUUCUUGUCUGAUUAAAGUAUGAUUCCCAAACCAAAAAAAAAUGCCUUAGGACUUAGAAUUAUUCAACAAGAAAAGUCCAGACAAAAAAAAAAUGCCUUAGGACUUAGAAUUAUUCAAAAAGAAAAGUCCACGGUAGACUUUUCCCACGCUAUACCUUUACAAGAAUGGUGCGGUGCUGGUAGUGAUCACCAACGGGCAUGGCAGCAGCGACUUUGCUCGAGGCAAUUCGAAUCGUGGACAAGCUUGGCACAAUAUCCACUUCCAGCAAGGUCUGUAGAAACCAACAUAGGAUCCUCAUCGCGGCGGUCGGCUAUGUCCGAGACUACCUCAAGCAAAUCCAGGAUCUCAACUUCGCGAGCAACGGGCCAGCCUUCGUGUGGGACGAAACCGUGGCUGUCCUUAACAGAGGCCUCCAUCUCCUCAAGUCGUGCCAAGAAGGCAAUUGGAUCACGCGGAGCCUCCUGUUCGAGGAAAGCUGCAAUGAGUUUCAGAGCAUUUAUCCCGAGAUCUACAACUGCGUCGAGCUCGUCAGCGUCUAUCUCUUUCAGCUGGCACCGUCCACCUCGCACAGAUCCAGGAUUGCCGAGGCUUACAACUCGUGCCUCAUGAGGCAGAACUCGAGCAGCAUGCUGGAAGAAGCCGAAAGGAACG